UCCGUUCCGUGUGAGGCGUGUGAGAAGAGGGAGCUGUGUCGGGAGGGGCCUGCAGAAAACGGGGAGGCUGGAGAUGAAACGGCUGCCAUCGGGUGGGGUUUUCCUUUCUCCACCCGCCGCGUAUUUCCCUGGUGCGCCGGUGUCUGUUCUCCCGGCCCCUGGUUUCCACGCAGCCCAAGCUUGAGGCCGGAUGUGGUGGCUCAUGCCUGUAAUCCCAACACUUUGGGAGGCCGAAGUGGGCAGAUUGCUUGAAGUCAGGAGUUCAAGAUCAGCCUGAACAACAUGGAGAAACCCUGUCUCUACAAAAAACACAAAAAUUAGCCAGACGGAGUUUCUGCUCUUGUUGCCCAGGCUGGAGUGUAAUGGUUUGAUCUUGGCUCACUGAAACCUCCGCCUCCCAGAUUCAAGUGAUUCUCCUGCCUCAGCCUCCUGAAUAGCUGGGAUUACAGGCGUGCACCACCACACCCAACUAAUUUUUUUGUAUUUUUAGUAGAGAUGUGGUUUCAUCAUGUUGGCUAGGCUUGUCUCGAACUCCUUCAGAUGAUCCACCUGACUUGGCCUCCCAAAGUGCAGAAAUUACAGGUGUGAGCCACCCUGCCCAGCUGCAUUGAUUGGGUUUCCAAUGUUAAACCAAGUUUCCAUUCCUAGGGUAAACUCCACUUGGUUGUGAUAUAUUAUCCUUUUACAUGUUGUUGAAUUUGAUUUGCUCAACUUUUGUUUAGAAUUUCUUUUUAUUUAGAAUUUUUUAACAGUUUUGUUGAAAUAUAAUUCACAUACCAUACACUUCAUUCAUUUAAGGUGUACAGUAUUUUCGAAUAUAGUCACGUGGUUGUGCAACCAUCACCAACAUCAAUUUUAGAACAUUUUGUCCCCACUGAAAGAAGCUCUGUACCAAUUAGCUGUCCCUCCCCAUUUCCCCACCUCCAGCCAUAAACAACCACUAAUCUACUUUUCCUCUCUAUAGAUUUGCCUAUUAUUGUAGGUAUUUUAUAUGAAUGGAAUCAUAGUAAGUAGUAUUUUGAGACCGGUUUCUUUCAGUUAGCAUAAUGUUGUAAAAGUUCAUCUGUGUUGAAGCAUGUAUCAACCAGAACUUUAUAUAUUUUUAUUUUAGAAUAAUACUUCCUUUUUUUGGGGGGUGGAGUCUUGCUCCGUCAGCCAGGUUGGAGUGCAAUGGCAUGAUCUCAGCUCACUGCUACCUCUGCCUUCUGGGCUCAAGUGAUUCUCCUGCCUCAGCCUCCUGAGUAGCUGGGAUUACAGGUGCAUGCUACCGCACCUGGCUAAUUUUUGUAUUUUUAGUAGAGUUGGGUUUUCAAUAUGUAGAUCAGGCUGCCCUUGGACUCCUGGCCUCGAGUGAUCCACCUGCCUCAGCCUCCCAAAGUACUAGGAUUACAGGUGUGAGCCACCGUGCCUAGCCUCAAAAUUCUUUUCAAUUUUCCAUUUGAUAUCUUCCUCGACCCAAGGGUUGUUUAGCAAUACAUUAUUUGAUUUACAAAUAUUUCAAGAUUUUCCACAAGUCUUUUUGUUAUUGACUUUUAAUUUAAUUCAGUUGUGGUUAGAGAAAAUGCUUUUUAUGACUGGAAUCCUUUACAAUCUAUUGAGACUUGUUUUAUGGCUCAAAAUAUGGUGUAUAUUGGUAAAUGGUCUAUGUGCUUUUGAAAAAUAUGUAUAUUCUACUAUGGUUGGUUGGAGUAUAAUAAAUGUCAAUUAGGUGAAGUUGGUGAAUAGGUCAAGUUGGUAUGGCCCUCAGCCAUAUAGUCACAAGGAAGUAAAAUCUGCCAACCAUGAGCCUGGAAGUAUAUGCUUUCCUAGUUGAGCUUCCCCAGGAGAAUAAAGCUAUCAGCUAAUACCUUGAUUACAGCCUCCUUAGAUUCUGGGCAGAGGACUUAGCUAAGCUGUUCCCAGACUUCUGAUCCAUGUAAACUGAGAGGUAAUAAAUGUAUGUUGUUUUAAAUUGCUAAGCUUGUGAGAAUUUGUUAUGCAAUAAUAGAAAACUAAUACAGAUGCAUAAACACUUAAGAUUAUUAUUAUUAUUUUGAGACAGAGUCUUGCUCUGUAGAGCAGGCUGGAGUGCAGUGGCAUGAUCUUGGCUCACUGCAACCUCCACCUCUCAAGUUCAAGCAAUUCUCCUGCCUCAGCCUCCCAAGUAGCUGGGAUUACAGGCACCCACCAUCAUGCCUGGAUAAUUUUUGUAUUUUUAGUAGAGACAGGGUUUCACCAUGUUGGCCAGGCUGGUCUCAAACUCCUGAUCUUAUGAUCUGCCCACCUCGGCCUCCCAAACUGCUGGGAUUACAGGUGUGAGCCACCAAGCCUGGCCUAACAUUUAAGAUUAUUAAAUCUUCUUGAUUAAUUGAUCAUGUUAUCAUUAUAAAAUAACCGUUGUUAUUUCUGGGAAUAUUCUUUCCUCUGAAAUCCACUUUGAUAUUAAUAUAGCUCCUAGAGCUUUCUUUUGAUUGGUGUUAACAAGACAUGUCUUUUUUUAAAUUUACCCUUUUUACUUUUUACCCUGUUUGUGGCUUCAUGUUAAAAUGUGUUUCUUUCUUGUUUUUUUUCUUUUUCUUUUUCUUUUUCUUUUUUUUUUUUUGAGACAGGAUCUCACUUUUGUCACCACGGUUCUUGAGUGCAGUGGCACGAUCAUAGCUCACUACAACCUUGAACUCCAGGGAUCAAGCCAUUCUCCUGCCUCUGCCCCUCAAGUAGCUGGGACUAUAAGUGAACCCCACCAUGCCUGGCUAAUUUUUUAUUUUAUCUUAUUUUUUAUUUAUUUAUUUAUUUUAGAUACAGAGUUUCACCAUGUUGGCUAGGCUGGUCUCGAACUCCUGAGCUCAAGAGAUCCACCCUCUUUGGCUUCCCAAAUUGCUGGGAUUACAGGUGUGAGCCAUUGCACCCGGCUGUGUGUUUCUAAUAGAUAUUAUAUAGUUGGUUUUUACUUUUUUAUCCAAUCUGAUAAUCAUUGCUUUUGAUUGGAGUAUUUAGGCCAUUUUAAUUUAAUGUGAUUAUUUAUAUGAUUAAGUUUAUUUAUUGUUUUUUUUUUGAGACAGAGUCUUGCUGUUGCUCAGGCUGGAAGGCAGUGUUGCAAUCGUGGCUCACUGCAGCCUCAAACUCCUGGGCCUCAGUGAACCUCUCGCCUCACCUUCCCAAGUACCUAGGACUAUAGGUGAGGGUCACCAUGCUCAGCUAAGUUUUAAAUUUUUUGUAGGGAUGGAGUCUGGCUGUGUUGCCCAGGCUGGUCUUGAACUCCUGGCUCAAGCAGUUCUCCACCUUGGCCUGCCAAAGUGCUGGGAUUAUAGGUGUGAGCCACCUUGCCCAUCUAUGAUUAAGUUUAAAUCUAUUAUUUUUUAUAAUUAUUUUCUAUUUUCCCCACCUAUUCUGUUCCUUUUAUUUUCUUUUUCCUGCCUUAUUUUGGAUUGUGUAUUUUUUUAUUAUUCUAUUUUAUCUCCUUUUUUUUUUUUUUGAAACAGAGUCUUGCUCUGUCACCCAGUCUGGAGUGCAGUGGCAUUAUCUCUGCUCAUUGCAACCUAUUUCCCCCACCCCUGGGUUCAAGUGAUUCUCGUGCCUCAGCCUCUUGAGUAGCUGAGACUACAGGUGCAUGCCACCAUGCCCAGGUAAUUUUGGUAUUCUUAGUAGAGAUAGGGAUUUGACAUGUUGGCCAGGUUGGUCUCGAACUCCUGACCUCAAAUGAUCCACCCACUUGGCCUUGGAAAGUGCUGAAAUUACAGGCAUGAGCCACCAUGCCCAGCCUAUCUCCAUUUUUGAUGGAGAUAAGAUAGGUUUUGCCUGACACAGUGAUGCAUGCCUGUGAGGCCAAGGCAGGAGGACAGCUUGACCCCAGGAUUUUGAGGCUAUAAUACCCUAUGAUUGUGCCUGUGAAAAGCACUGCAGCCUGGGCAACAUAGUGAGACCCUGUCUCUAAAAAAAAUGAUUUGUUAGUGGAGAUAAGAUAGAAUCGGAAAAAACACAAAAGGAUUCCACUUACGUGCGGUAAUUAGAGUAACCAAAUUUAGAGACAGAAAGUAGGCCAGCCUGGUCAAGACGGUGAAACCCCAUCUCUACUAAAAAUAUAAAAAUUAGCCAGUGUGGUGGCGGGUGCCUGUAAUCCCAGCUACUCGGGAGACUGAGGCAGAGAAUUGCUUGAACCCCUGAGGUGGAGGUUGCAGUGAGCCGAGAUCAUGCCACUGCACUCCAGCCUGGGCGACAGAGCAAGACUCUGUCAAAAAAAAAAAAGAAAGAAAGAAAGAAAGAAAGAGAAAGAAGGAAGGAAUGGAGAGUUACUGUUUGAUGGGUACAGAGUUUCAGUUUGGGAAGAUGAAAAACUCUGGAGAUGGAUGGUGUUGAUGCUUGCAUAGCAAUGUAAAUGUCCUUAAUGCCCUGAACGAUAUACAUAGUUAACAUGGUAGAUUUUAUGUUAUAAAUAUUUUACCACAAUUUUAAACAAUCCUCAACAAAAUCAGAAUACAAGGUAAAUUGCUCAAACUAAUAAAGGGCAUGAGAAAAGUCUACAGGUCACAUUAUAACAUCAUCGUAACAUUGCUGGUGAAAGUGAACAGUGAACAGUGUCCUCCCAAGAUUGGAAACAAGUCAAGGAUGUCUACUCUUGCCACUUGUGUUAAACACUGUCCUGGACAUUUGAAGCCAGUGCAAUCAGAAAAGAAAAAGGAAUAAAAGCCAUCCAAGUUGGAAAGAAAGAAGUAAAACCAGCAUUCUUUUCAGUUGAUGGUCUUUAAUGUAAAAGUUGGAUGGAAUCUACAAAAAGGCAUCUAGGCUAAUAAGUGAGUUUAGUGAGCAUGUGAGAUAAAAGUUAAAUGUAAUAAAUUAUAUAUCAGUAUACUAGCAGUGAAAAUGACAUUAGGGAGACAGUUCUAUUCACAGCAACAUCAGAAGGAAUAAAAUACUUAGAAAUAAAUUUAGCAAAACAAAUGCAGACAUACACAAAAACUAUAAAACAUUGCUCAGGGAAAUUAGAGAUCUUUAAAUUUAAUUAAAAAUGGAGAGAAAUUCCAUCUUCAUGAAUUGAAAGACAGUAUUGCCAAGAUGACAGUUUUCACCAAAUUGAUCUAUAAAUUAAAUGAAAUCCCAGCCGGGCAUGGUGGUGCAUGCCUGUAGUCCCAGCUACUCCAGAGGCUGAGGUGGGAGGAUCACUUGAACCCAGGAGUUUGAGGCUACAGUGAGCCAUGAUCAUGCCACUGCACUCCAGCCUAGGUGACAGGAUGAGAACCCAUCUCUAAAACCAAAAAUAACAAAAUAAAAAUGAAGCAAAAUCCCUAUAAAAAUUCUAGAAAGCAUUCCUUUAUUUUUUGUAGAAAUUGGUAAUCUGUUCCUAAAAUAUAUACAGGAUAUGGACAUGCAAAGGACCCAGAAUAACCAAAUAAUUUUGAAAAAGAGCCAAUAGGAGAAUUGUCAUUUCCAUCUUUCAAAACUUACUAUAUAUAUAAGUCACAGUAAUCAAGACCAUGAGAUACUGACAUGAGGAUAGAAAUAUAAUGGAGAGUCCAUGAAUUAAUCCUUAUAUUAUGGUCAGCUGAAGGCUGACAAAGGUGCCAAGAUAAUUCAAUGUGCAAAUGACAUUUUCAACAAAUGGUGUGAGGAUAACUGCAUUCUCACCACAAAUAAGUGAUAAGUAUGUGAGGUGACAGAUAUGUUAGUUACCUUGAUUUAAUACUUUCACAAUGUAUACAUAUAUCAAAGCAUCAUAUUGUAUACCAUGGGUAUGUAUCAUUUUCUUUGUCAAUUAUAAUUAAUCAAGUUUAAAUUAAUUAAAAUGUUAAUCUGAGUGCUGCUCUGAAGGAUUUUCCAGAUAUUUUUAAAGUCCUGAGUCAGUUAACAGUAUAUGGAGAUUAUAGAACUGACCUAGUCAGGGAAACCCUUUAAAUACAGAGAGUUUUCUCUGGCUAGUACCAGAAGAGGUCAUCAGCGAUUCAAAGCACAAAAAGGAUUUGAUGCUCUAUUGUUUAUUUGAUGGUAGUGGGGACCUCUGUAUUAAGGAAAUGGAGAGUUCAGUUUUACAGCUUCGUGGAACUACAUUUCUGUUAAUAACUUGAAUGAACAUGGAAGCAGAUUCUGUUUUUUAUUUGCAGGUGAAUUCUUCCCUAGAACUUCCAUAUAAGAGCCCAACAUGACCAACAUCUUUUUUUUUUUUUUUAAUUUUUUAUUGGAUUAUAGGUUUUGGGGUACAUGAGCAGAGCAUGCAAGACAGUUGCGUAGGUACACACAUGGCAGUGUGCUUUCUUUUCUUCUCCCCUUCACCCACAUUUGGCUUUUCUCCCCAGGCUAUCCCUCCCCACAUCCCCCUCCCACUGGCCCUCCCCUUUUCCCCCCAAUAGACCCCAGUGUUUAGUACUCCCCUUUCUGUGUCCAUGUGUUCUCAUUUUUCAUCACCCGCCUAUGAGUGAGAAUAUGCGGUGUUUCAUUUUCUGUUCUUGUGUUAGUUUGCUGAGGAUGAUGUUCUCCAGAUUCAUCCAUGUCCCUACAAAUGACACAAACUCAUCAUUUCUGAUUGCUGCAUAAUAUUCCAUGGUGUAUAUGUGCCGCAUUUUUCCAAUCCAGUCUAUUAUCAAUGGGCAUUUGGGUUGAUUCCAGGUCUUUGCUAUUGUAAACAGUGCUGCAAUGAACAUUCGUGUACAUGUGUCCUUAUAGUAGAAUGAUUUAUAGUCUUUUGGAUAUAUACCCAGUAAUGGGAUUGCUGGGUCAAAUGGAAUUUCUAUUUCUAAGGCCUUGAGGAAUCGCCACACCGUCUUCCACAAUGGUUGAACUAAUUUUACACUCCCACCAACAGUGUAAAAGUGUUCGCCAACAUCUUGAUUUUAACUUUUUGAAACGUUGAGUAGAGAACUUGCCUGGUCUUAUGACCUAGAGAACUAUGAGAUAAUAAAUGGUUAUUGUUUUAAGUUACUAAAUUUAUGAUAAUUUGUUACACAGCAAUAGAAAACUAAUACACUGGUGUAGCUGGCUCACUCAUGUUUAUUGCAUGGUAUAUUAUUUUCCAUCCUUUCAACCUAAUUGUAUUAUACAUUGAAUCUAAAGUGUCUGUUCUAGACAGCAUAUAGUUAGAUCAUGUUUUUAAAUCCAGUCUGAUAAUCCCUUACUUUUUUUGAGACAGGAUCUCACUUUGUCACCCAGGCUGGAGUGCAGUGGCGUAAACAUGGCUCACUGAAGCCUCGACCUCCCAGGCUCAAGCGAUCCUUUUGCCUCAGCCACACAAAUAGCUGGAACUACAGGUGUGCACCACCACACCUGGCUAAUUUUUUUUGUAUUUUUGCUAUGUUGCCCAGCUUGGUCUCCAACUGCUGAGCUCAAGUGAUCUGCCUCAGUUUCCCAAAGUACUGGGAUUACAGGCAUGACCCACCAUCCCACCAUGCCCAGUCUAGCCCUUACUUUUGAGUGUAGUACUUAUUUCAUUUACAUUUACUAUAAUACUGAUUGUAAUAUAAAUAAUAUAAUUAUUAUUUUGGAGAGAAAAACAUGCAAAAUUGUUUUCCCAACAGACAAGACAACAUCAGCAGGUACAACUACAGGGGAUUCUCCAUAGAUGGUACAUUCACAAAGCAUCGGUAGUUCAACAGUGGAAAAACCACUGGUGCAUUCGCUGUAACAUGUCCACUUAACAGUGUAAAGAGGUACUAUUAUUGUGUUCACUUACAAUUCCAGAAGGAAAGGCACAACUAGACAAAAAAAAUUUUGUAUCCUCAAGUCAGGUGCGGUAACUAAGAGACAAAACUUUGGGUAACAGUCUUGCUGCAUAUUUCAAUAAGGGCUUUCUACUUAGAGAGGAAAGAUUUCUCCACCCACAAGUUAGAGUCUUUCUCCUUCCUUGUUUAAUUAUUAGAGCAACAUUUCAUUGUUUGCUCAGUAUUAUUACAUAUACAAAAGGGGAUCUUAAAAAAGGAAUCAUGAAAACAUCUUAUAUGUCCAGCUGUUCCCACCAAUACAUCAACUCUUAUGAGGCAGGAGAAUAGGGUCUGGAGGCAGGGAACCUAAGGCUGUUUCACGCUCACUUCCUAGAACUAAAUUGAAAGGGACACCCCAACUUUCCACACCUAAAUAUCAAAAAGACCAGAGACUACUCCCUUUGCAAACCCCCACCUUUUCUGCUCAGCAGAUGGCAAAUUGAAAGUACAAAAUUAUACUCUUAUGCAAACCUCUGAUUGGUUGCAAGUCAGAGGUUUGCUUAAGAGUGUAAUUUUGUAACUUCAGCCUCUGAUUGGUUGCUGUCCACAACCAAUCAAAGUGAUUGUAGGCCACCACUUCAAUUACAUGAGGUGAAAACCAAGUGGCCAAUGGGAAACUUCUAAGGGGUAUUUGGACCCAAGAAGAGUCUGUAUCUGGGCCCUUAAACUACUGCUCAGGCCGGCUCCCACACUGUGGAGUGUACUUUCAUUUUCAAUAAAUCUGCUUUUGUUGCUUCAUUCUUUCUGUGCUUUGUGUGUUUUGUCCAAUACACCAAGAACCUGGACACCCUCCACCAGUAACACUUAGGUUUAAGACAGAGGCAGUUGGGGCGGGGGCUUAUGCUUGUAAUCCCAGCAUUUUGGGAGGCUGAGGUGGGUGGAUCAUUAGGUCAAGAGAUCGAGACCAUCCUGGCCAA